GUCGGAGUGGCGGAAUUGGUAGACGCGCUAGGUUGAGGGCCUAGUGGGAGAAUAUCCCGUGGAGGUUCAAGUCCUCUCUCCGACA
rnacentral:tRNA from 1 species